AGUUGUCAUAUAUUUCGGGGAAGGAAGGCACUAGUUGUAGGGCGAAGAGCAGAGCAGGGAGGAGAGCGGUGCACCGGUGAAGCAUGAUCUGUGGGAAGACAGGGAGAGAGGCACCCUUACCAAGGGUGUAGGGUUAGUGUGUGUAGGAGCAGGUCUCCCUGGAACCGGUCCACCCAUUGCACUUCAUUUUUCAGUUCUUU